rnacentral:rRNA from 1 species
GAUGAACGCUGGCGGCGCGCCUAAUACAUGCAAGUCGAGCGAACAGACGAGGAGCUUGCUCCUCUGACGUUAGCGGCGGAAGGGUGAGUAACACGUGGAUAACCUACCUAUAAGACUGGGAUAACUUCGGGAAACCGGAGCUAAUACCGGAUAAUAUAUUGAACCGCAUGGUUCAAUAGUGAAAGACGGUUUUGCUGUCACUUAUAGAUGGAUCCGCGCCGCAUUAGCUAGUUGGUAAGGUAACGGCUUACCAAGGCGACGAUGCGUAGCCGACCUGAGAGGGUGAUCGGCCACACUGGAACUGAGACACGGUCCAGACUCCUACGGGAGGCAGCAGUAGGGAAUCUUCCGCAAUGGGCGAAAGCCUGACGGAGCAACGCCGCGUGAGUGAUGAAGGUCUUCGGAUCGUAAAACUCUGUUAUUAGGGAAGAACAAAUGUGUAAGUAACUAUGCACGUCUUGACGGUACCUGAUCAGAAAGCCACGGCUAACUACGUG